GCAUCGGUGGUUCAGUGGUAGAAUACUAGCCUGCCACGCGGGCGGCCAGGGUUCGAUUCCCGGCCGAUGCA
rnacentral:tRNA from 1 species